rnacentral:lncRNA from 1 species
AGGGUAAAAAGACAAAAAGACCCUUAAUGAAACACUAGAUCUAACUGCCACAAUUCAAGGAGCAAUAUCAAAAGGCCACAUUUCAUUUUCGCACGUGAAAUAAAGAAAAUGCACAUGUUCUAUCCAAUUGUCCAUAUUUAAUAUGAAAGAUCACACUAUCCGUAGAUAUUUAUAAUUAACCCUAAUCGGCCAUCACUCCCCUCGAAG